rnacentral:rRNA from 1 species
UGGCAGCAGUGGGGAAUUUUGGACAAUGGGCGCAAGCCUGAUCCAGCAAUGCCGCGUGCAGGAAGAAGGCCUUCGGGUUGUAAACUGCUUUUGUACGGAACGAAACGGUCUGAGUUAAUACCUCGGGCUAAUGACGGUACCGUAAGAAUAAGCACCGGCUAACUACGUGCCAGCAGCCGCGGUAAUACGUAGGGUGCAAGCGUUAAUCGGAAUUACUGGGCGUAAAGCGUGCGCAGGCGGUGAUGUAAGACAGUCGUGAAAUCCCCGGGCUCAACCUGGGAAUUGCGAUUGUGACUGCAUCGCUGGAGUGCGGCAGAGGGGGAUGGAAUUCCGCGUGUAGCAGUGAAAUGCGUAGAUAUGCGGAGGAACACCGAUGGCGAAGGCAAUCCCCUGGGCCUGCACUGACGCUCAUGCACGAAAGCGUGGGGAGCAAACAGGAUUAGAUACCCCAGUAGUC